rnacentral:rRNA from 1 species
AUUGAACGCUGGCGGCAGGCCUAACACAUGCAAGUCGAGCGGAGCGGCGGACGGGUGAGUAAUGCCUAGGAAUCUGCCUGGUAGUGGGGGAUAACGUUCGGUAACGGGCGCUAUUACCGCAUCCUCUCAGUUUAGCCUAGGUCGGAUUAGCUAGUUGGUGGGGUAAAGGCCUACCAAGGCGACGAUCCGUAACUGGUCUGAGAGGAUGAUCAGUCACACUGGAACUGAGACACGGUCCAGACUCCUACGGGAGGCAGCAGUGGGGAAUAUUGGACAAUGGGCGAAAGCCUGAUCCAGCCAUGCCGCGUGUGUGAAGAAGGUCUUCGGAUUGUAAAGCACUUUAAGUUGGGAGGCGUUACCAACAGAAUAAGCACCGGCUAACUUCGUGCCAGCCGCCGCGGUAAUUC